UCAAAUUAGAGCUUGUUGGAAAGUAUUUCAUUUACAUUGAAAAGAUAAUUAAUGAAUAUUAAUUAAUUUGA
rnacentral:tRNA from 1 species